rnacentral:lncRNA from 1 species
UUUGUUCCCCAGAGAGUUAAUCCUUGAUAUGUUCAUCUUAACCGAUGACGGGUUUUCUUCUCCUUGUGGUUUUCUACCCAGUAACCGGUAGUUGUAAAUCCUACUUUUCCCCUGUGCGGAGUCUAUCCUUGAUAUGUUCAUCCUAACCGGUGACGAAUUUUCUCUUCUAUGGUAUUCUAUCCAGUAACUGAUAGAUAUAAUCCCUAUUUUUGCUCCUUAUCAGAGUCGAUCCUUGACAUGUUCAUCCUAACCGAUGACGGGUCUUCUC